UGUGUAUAUAUAUUUUAUUCAGCGGUUUUUAGGGCCUAUACGUUUUGGCCUUAUUUUUGACUAUUCGGUACGCGAGAGUCCGAUAACCCGAAUGCACACUUUGUUCCCAUCACAAACUGUUAUUGUACUUUCUAGUUUCUAAUAAAACGUUAUCAAUAUUAUAGAUUGAACAUAUUGUAUGUUAUUAUUUAAAAACGAAUUAACCGUUGACUUGUAUGUUAUUUAUUGCGACCUUAUAACCACGCAAGUCCAUAAUAUAAUAUAUUA